AAGUGCCAAAUCAUCACUUCAUCAACAUGCAUCACAACUCGUAAGAUUCACCAAACAAUAAUUCAUUCAUGUACUAGCAUGUCCACAACAGCCACAUUGAACAUCAAGCCACAGAUUGGCCUAGCUCACAACCAUUAGAGUGACCAUCACAAUAUCUAAGUUUGAACUAAAAGAUUUGAUAUCUAGGGAGUCUAAACAACUAAACAUUAGUAUUCACGAGCACUUCAAUUCACUUGCUGUCCAUAAGAUGUGCUACCUGAAAAUCAAAACAAAUAUAAGUCAGAUUUGCUAACAAAGAUUCUAAAAAGAAAUGUCAUCUAUUUAUUAGGAAGCUUUGAAACUAGUUAACAAAUUCAAUACAUAUGCUAGUCCAAAAUUCUGAAAACAGAUAACAAGUAAACAACCAACACUUUUGGCACCAAUGCAUAGUUUCAGAGUUCCAUACAGCAAGAUAAUCACAUCAUAUAAUGCUAUAAGAAUUAAUUUCAACCUUUUGUUCUAGAUCAGUAGUAACAGCAGCAGCAGACAAGAAGCACUUACUUGAAGCAAAAUCAUGGGACAGAAUUGUUUUGGAGUGUCAUGAUAGUUUCUGCAUUGGACUAUGUUUACCUAUAUACAAAUAAUAGAUAUGAAGAUUGUAUACUAUAUCGAAUAGAUGUGCCAAAUAAUAAAUUAUAGCACAUACCUUUGUUUAUUUAUCAAAGUAUUGUCCAAGCAGCCACUCGUCAAACAAAGUCACAUGCAAUUCAGUUACAAGAACUCAAAUUCAGUAACUUCAGUGUUACAAAAGUUCCAGAAAUCCGUUGAGCACAAAUCAGUAAGCAUUUCAGUUAAAUCAACCAUAAGUGCAUCAUAUCCCAGUGCGUUGAGAGCAGCAGCAUGUAGUACAUCUAGGAACUGAUGCAAUUUAGAUGAAGAAAUCCGGCUUUUAGUUUCAGAAACUACUAUACUCACAUAUAGAAAAUGGAGGAGCAGCAGGACUGGCGGCUCCUCCUUGCUUGGGGAGUUGUACGACAUGGCACGCGCAGCAGCCGGGGACCUACGUCCUUGGAGAUGAAAUCUGGAGGAAGGCCCGGAUGCCUCGGCGUCGCCACAGAGCAGCAUAACGAGGAGUAAUUAGUGUAGAACUGCAUCUGGGGCAGAUGGGGAAGAGGAUGGUUACCAGGAAGUAGAUGGGGCACUCGUCGAGGUCGGCGCGCGCGUCGUCGGCGCCCCGGUGGAAGGGCGUGAGCUUGGCAUCAAGGAUGAGGCGGCGGAGCUUCCUGAGGUUCCCAUGGCAUGGAUCUGGCUGGGGGAGAAGGGCGCGGCCACCACGUCGUGGAUCUGGCUGGAGAAGAAGAAGGGAGGUUCCCAUGGCAUGGAUCUGGCCGGAGGAGAAGGGUGCGGCCUCCUCGUCGUGGAUUUGACUGGAAGAGAAGAACGGCGGCCACCCACAUGGAGUCGACAUGGGAAGGACCAAAGGAGAGACCGUGAGAGGAUAAGGGAGGGGAUAGGAAGGAGCCGACGCUCAGUUUUCUUAUUCUAUUUUUUCUCACGUAAUAGUAACAUAUAAUCUGUCAUAGAUUAGGG
rnacentral:lncRNA from 1 species